UGCGUAGGCGGCGUAUUAAGUUGGGUGUGAAAUCCCCGGGCUCAACCUGGGAAUUGCACUCAAAACUGGUAUGCUUGAGUGUGAGAGAGGAAAGUGGAAUUCCUAGUGUAGCGGUGAAAUGCGUAGAUAUUAGGAGGAACACCAGUGGCGAAGGCGACUUUCUGGCUCAUAACUGACGCUGAGGCACGAAAGCGUGGGUAGCAAACA
rnacentral:rRNA from 1 species